UCAAUAUUUUUAUCAUUAUUAAAUAAGUGGCAAAUCGCCCAGUUUAAAUUAGUCAACAGUACUUAUUUUACACGUAGUGCCGAGGCCAUUUGCGUUUCGGUAAUAUACCUACCGCCGUGUUGUGAGGCAAAAAAAUGACAAUGAGUGAUAAUGACGAUUUGUGAAAUAACAAUGUAGGUAAUGAUACAUUAAUUCCCGUUAUUUGUUGUUGAAAAAAAAAGGUCGUGGGAGGAAGAUUUAUCCAUCCCCCACCCAAUCGCGAAUACGCGCAAGUUUACGGUAAAUCACUAUACUCUUUAAAUUAUAACUAUGCAAGGAGGAACGAUUUUAUUUUUAUGAUUGUACAAUAGCUUUUUGUUUAAGCUAAAAAUACUUUCAU